UGAAUGUAAUGUAGUACAGGGGUGGCUAUAAUUUAUACAAUCAUAUUUGAAAAGAAGCAUGAACAAUUUUAGUUUUAAAGGAUUAAGUUACAAAAAGUAUGCUAAAAAUGAAGAUUUCAUUUUAGAAUAAAAUAUCUUUUCUAUUACAUCUUGCAAACUACCAUUCAAUAAAUUGUACAUGCAAUUUUUUUACUUCUUUGAAAGUAAUUGGCUUAUUUAACGAUUUGUAUCUUCUUGAGGUGACUUUCUUUUCAUCAUAAAAACCCAGUUGAGUACUUUGUAGCAAUUUACAUUUUCUUCCUUCCUGUUUAUAGAGUACAGAAUGAAUAUAAGCUCUUAUUCUUACACCAAAUAACUACAUAAAAUGCCAAGACUCUGGUUAAUUAACAGUGGAUCUUUAAAUAACACAUGUCCUCCAAAUAAAGCAAGUCAGAACUUGAAGUGCCCAAACAUGUCAUAGGUGACUGAUGAAGUGUACCUAGUGACCCAGUGAAUUGAUAAGUUCACCAUGACAACCAUUAUUUCAGAUAGCUGCACCAUAGGCAAAGCAGAAGCUGACCAGAGACUAGAUAUUUCUUGCUCUCCAUGCACUGACUCAGAGAAGCAACCAAUAACAGCAGAAGUGACCCUUUGGGAAAUGGCACCAGGUGUCCCAGGCUGGUGCUUAAAGUGGGAAUAUUAAGGCGAUUUGCCACGAGAAGGACAUGGCCUGGUGGCUACUGCACCUUCAGCUUCCGCACACAUAAAUACAUAUGGAACACACCGGACCUAGUCUCCAGCCUGGAGCCAUGCCUACAGCAUGGCUGAAGCAUGAAGCAGGGCUAACUGGCCACAUUCAACCUCCAUCAGCUGAAGCACAAUACACCUGCAAACCUAUGAGUCUGAGAAUAAAGGCUUGUUAUUGAAAG
rnacentral:lncRNA from 1 species